UACGUAGGGUGCAAGCGUUAAUCGGAAUUACUGGGCGUAAAGCGUGAGCAGGCGGUUUUGUAAGUCUGUCGUGAAAGCCCCGGGCUCAACCUGGGAAUUGCGAUGGAGACUGCAAGGCUAGAAUCUGGCAGAGGGGGGUAGAAUUCCACGUGUAGCAGUGAAAUGCGUAGAGAUGUGGAGGAACACCGAUGGCGAAGGCAGCCCCCUGGGUCAAGAUUGACGCUCAUGCACGAAAGCGUGGGGAGCAAACAGG
rnacentral:rRNA from 1 species